rnacentral:rRNA from 1 species
CCUACGGGUGGCUGCAGUGGGGAAUAUUGCACAAUGGGGGAAACCCUGAUGCAGCAACGCCGCGUGGGUGAUGACGGCCUUCGGGUUGUAAAGCUCUUUCUUCAGGGACGAUAAUGACGGUACCUGAGGAGUAAGCCACGGCUAACUCCGUGCCAGCAGCCGCGGUAAUACGUAGGUGGCGAGCGUUGUCCGGAUUUACUGGGCGUAAAGGGAGCGUAGGCGGGCUUUUAAGUGAGAUGUGAAAUACUCGGGCUCAACUUGAGUGCUGCAUUUCAAACUGGAAGUCUAGAGUGCAGGAGAGGAGAAUGGAAUUCUUAGUGUAGCGGUGAAAUGCGUAGAGAUCAGGAAGAACACUCGUGGCGAAGGCGAUUUGCUGGAAUGUAACUGACGCUGAGGCUCGAAAGCGUGGGGAGCAAACAGGAUUAGAUACCCCGGUAGUC